rnacentral:rRNA from 1 species
UACGUAGGGUGCGAGCGUUGUCCGGAAUUAUUGGGCGUAAAGGGCUCGUAGGCGGUUUGUCGCGUCGGGAGUGAAAACCUUGGGCUUAACUCAGGGCUUGCUUUCGAUACGGGCAGACUAGAGGUAUGCAGGGGAGAACGGAAUUCCUGGUGUAGCGGUGAAAUGCGCAGAUAUCAGGAGGAACACCGAGUGGCGAAGGCAGGUCUCUGGGCAUUAACUGACGCUGAGGAGCGAAAGCAGUGGGAGCGAACAGG